rnacentral:rRNA from 1 species
CCCUAAGGCGAGGCCGAAAGGCGUAGUCGAUGGGAAAUUGGUUAAUAUUCCAAUACUUCUGUGUAAUGCGAUGAGAGGACGGAGAAGGUUAAGUCAGCCUGGCGUUGGUUGUCCAGGUGGAAGGAUGUAGGUAUGUAUCUUAGGCAAAUCCGGGGUACUCUAUACUGAGAUCCGAUAGCAAGCUGUACUUGUACAGUGAAGUGGCUGAUACCAUGCUUCCAGGAAAAGUCUCUAAGCUUCAGUUACACAGGAAUCGUACCCGAAACCGACACAGGUGGUCAGGUCGAGUAGACCAAGGCGCUUGAGAGAACUCUGCUGAAGGAACUAGGCAAAAUGGUACCGUAACUUCGGGAGAAGGUACGCUGUUGUUGGUGAUGGAACUUGCUUCCUGAGCUGAUGACAGCCGCAGAAACCAGGCCGCUGCAACUGUUUAUUAAAAACAUAGCACUCUGCAAACACGAAAGUGGACGUAUAGGGUGUGAUGCCUGCCCGGUGCUGGAAGGUUAAUUGAUGGGGUUAGCGUAAGCGAAGCUCUUGAUCGAAGCCCCAGUAAACGGCGGCCGUAACUAUAACGGUCCUAAGGUAGCGAAAUUCCUUGUCGGGUAAGUUCCGACCUGCACGAAUGGCAUAAUGAUGGCGGCGCUGUCUCCAGCAGAGGCUCAGUGAAAUCGAAAUCGCUGUGAAGAUGCAGUGUACCCGCGGCUAGACGGAAAGACCCCGUGAACCUUUACUGCAGCUUGACACUGAACUUUGACCUUACUUGUGUAGGAUAGGUGGGAGGCUUUGAAGUUGGAACGCUAGUUCCAAUGGAGCCGUCCUUGAAAUACCACCCUGGUAAUGUUGAGGUUCUAACUCUGUCCCGUUAUCCGGGACGAGGACCGUGUCUGGUGGGUAGUUUGACUGGGGCGGUCUCCUCCUAAAGAGUAACGGAGGAGUACGAAGGUGCGCUCAGCGUGGUCGGAAAUCACGCGUAGAGUAUAAAGGCAAAAGCGCGCUUAACUGCGAGACCCACAAGUCGAGCAGGUACGAAAGUAGGUCUUAGUGAUCCGGUGGUUCUGUAUGGAAGGGCCAUCGCUCAACGGAUAAAAGGUACUCUGGGGAUAACAGGCUGAUACCGCCCAAGAGUUCAUAUCGACGGCGGUGUUUGGCACCUCGAUGUCGGCUCAUCUCAUCCUGGGGCUGAAGCAGGUCCCAAGGGUAUGGCUGUUCGCCAUUUAAAGAGGUACGCGAGCUGGGUUUAGAACGUCGUGAGACAGUUCGGUCCCUAUCUACCGUGGGCGCUGGAAAUUUGAGAGGAUCUGCUCCUAGUACGAGAGGACCAGAGUGGACGAACCUCUGGUGUACCGGUUGUGACGCCAGUCGCAUCGCCGGGUAGCUAUGUUCGGAAGGGAUAACCGCUGAAAGCAUCUAAGCGGGAAGCCUACCUCAAGAUAAGAUUUCCCUAGGAAUUUAUUCCUCUAAAGAGCCGUUCGAGACUAGGACGUUGAUAGGUUGGAUGUGGAAGCAUAGUGAUAUGUGAAGCUGACCAAUACUAAUUGCUCGUGAGGCUUGACUAU